rnacentral:lncRNA from 1 species
UUGCUCAAAUUACAGUUCAAAUUACAACUCAUAUUACAUGAGAGUAUAAUUGAUAUAUACAAUCAUAUAUUGAUACUGAGCCCUAUUGAUAUGAAUACUGAUAUGACACCGCUCAGAUUUUUAACCCUCUCAAAUAUUCGAGGGAUGUCAAACUCCCAUCUUGGGAGAAAGACUGUCUUCACUCGAGCUCAAGGACUCCAAAGAAGAAUAUUUAAAUGAAAC